CAAAGGUAAUGUGGUUUGGUAAGAAUAAUGCUCCUCUUCUCACAGGUGUGAUUACUACCUCUGAAGGUUUAGAGCUUGAGGUAGUCACCACACACAAGUACUUGGGAGUAUGGCUAGACGAUACACUGUAGUUCUCUCAGCACAUAUCAAAGCUGCAGGCUAAAGUUAAAUCCUCUAUUGUAAUCACUCCUCUUACACCCCAGCUGCCAAACUAACCCUGAUUCAGAUGACCAUCCUACCCAUGCUAGAUUACGAAGACAAUUUAUAGAUCGGCAGGUAAGGGUGCUGUCAAGCGGCAGGAUAAUCUUUACCAUUCGGUCAUCAGAUUUGCCACCAAUGCUCCGUAUACAGUGGCUUGCGAAAGUAUUCACCCUGCUUGGCAUUUUUCCUAUUUUGUUGUCUUACAACCUGGAAUUAAAAUAGAUUUUGGGGGGGUUGUAUCAUUUGAUUUUCACAACAUGCAUACCACUUUGAAGACGCAAAAUAUUUUUCAUUGUGAAACAGACAAGAAAUAAGACAAAAAACGGAAAACUUGAGUGUGCAUAACUAUUCACCCCCCCCAAAGUCAAUACUUUUUUUUCCUUAAAGGGGUGGAUCAGCUUAAUAUUGCGGAAAGAAUGUUGAUUCCAUCAAUAAUUGUGUGCAUCAUUUCCAAUCCCCAAUAUAUUUUUUGUAAAUAUAUAUAUCCAUACACGCAUGCUGUCACGUCCUGACCUUAGUUCCUUUUUUAUGUCUCUGUUUUAGGGCGUGAGUUGGGGUGGGCAUUCAAUGUUUUUGUUCUAUGUGUUGUAUUUCUGCUUUUGGCCUGGGAUGGUUCCCAAUCAGAGGCAGCUGUCAAUCAUUGUCUCUGAUUGAGAACCAUACUUAGGUAGCCUGUGUUCCCACUUUGAUUUGUGGGUAGUUGUUUUCUGUCUUUGUGUGUCUGCACCAGACAGAACUGUUUCGUUUCUUCCAUUUCACUUUGUUAUUUUGUUUUGUGCGUUCAGUCAAAUAAAUUAUGACGAACACUUACGACGCUGCAUAUUGGUCCGAUAUUUUCUCCUCCUCCUCCUCCUUCCAGAGACUCCCUCUGUCCAGCGCUUCCAGAGUCUCCCUCCUGUCCAGCGCUGCCAGAGUCUCCCUCCUGUCCAGCCCUGCCAGAGGCUCCCUCCUGUCCAGCCCUGCCAGAGUCUCCCUCCUGUCCAGCCCUGCCAGAGUCUCCCUCCUGUCCAGCCCUGCCAGAGGCUCCCUCCUGUCCAGCCCUGCCAGAGGCUCCCUCCUGUCCAGCCCUGCCAGAGGCUCCCUCCUGUCCAGCCCUGCCAGAGUCUCCCUCCUGUCCAGCCCUGCCAGAGCCGCCCGUCAGUCAGGAGCUGCCGGAGUCGCCCUACACGCCGGCGCUGCCGGAGUCUCCCGCCUGUCCGGCGCUGCCGGAAUCUCCCGUCUAUUCGGGGCCCGCUGUAAGGGUCCCCAGUCCGAGGUCGGCUGCGAGGGUCACCGCUCCUAAGGCGCCACUUAAGUGGGCCAAGACUAUGGUGGACUGGGGUCCACUUCCCGCGCCAGAGCCGCCACUGCGGACAGAUGCCCACCCAGACCCUCAUUCUUCAAGGCAAAACUGCUCCAGCUCCUUUUUUCAUUUAUUUAUUUUUUAUUUCACCUUUAUUUAACCAGGAAGGCUAGUUGAGAACAAGUUCUCAUUUGCAACUGCGACCUGGCCAAGAUAAAGCAAAGAAGUGUGACACAGACAACAAUACAAAGUUACACAUGGAGUAAACAAUAAACAAGCCAAUAACACAAUAAACAAAUCAAUGACACAGUAGAAAAAAAUAAAGUCUAUAUACAGUGUGUGCAAAAGGCAUGAUGAGGUAGGCAAUAAAUAGGCCAUAGGAGUGAAUAGUUACAAUUUAGCAGAUUAACACUGGAGUGAUAAAUGAGCAGAUGAUGAUGUGCAAGUAGAGAUACUGGUGUGCAAAAGAGCAGAAAAGUAAAUAAAAUAAUCAGUAUGGGGAUGAGGUAGAUAGAUUGGGUGGGCUAUUUACAGAUGGACUAUAUACAGCUGCAGCAAUCGGUUAGCUGCAAAGAUAGUUGAUGUUUAAAGUUGGUGAGGGAAAUAAAAGUCUCCAACUUCAGCGAUUUUUGCAAUUCGUUCCAGUCACUGGCAGCAGAGAACUGGAAGGAAAGGCAGUCAAACGAGGUGUUGACUUUGGGGAUGAUCAGUGAGAUAUACCUGCUGGAACAUGUGCUACGGGUGGGUGUUGUUAUCGUGACCAGUGAACUGAGAUAAGGUGGAGCUUUACCUAGCAUAGAUUUAUAGAUGACCUGGAGCCAGUGGGUCUGGUGACGAAUAUGUAGCGAGGGCUAGCCGACGAGAGCAUACAGGUCGCAGUGGUGGGUGGUAUAAGGCGCUUUGGUAACAAGACGGAUGGCACUGUGAUAGACUGCAUCCAGUUUGCUGAGUAGAGUGUUGGAAGCUAUUUUGUAGAUGACAUCGCUGAAGUCGAGGAUCGGCAGGAUAGUCAGUUUUACUAGGGUAAGUUUGGCGGCGUGAGUGAAGGAGGCUUUGUUGCGAAAUAGAAAGCUGAUUCUAGAUUAGAUUUUUGAUUGGAGAUGUUUAAUAUGAGUCCGGAUGUGUUCCGCUGGUGUACAGCAAUCAUUAAGUCAUACCACAGAUUCUCAAUUGGAUUGAGGUCUGGGCUUUGACUAGGCAAUUAAAUGUUUCUCCUUAAACCAUUCAAGUGUUGCUUUGGCAGUAUGCUUAGGGUCAGUGUCAAAUCGUCCCAGUCAGUCUCAAAUCUCUGGAAGACUGGAACAGGUUUCCCUCAAGAAUUUCCCUGUAUUUAGCAACAUCCAUCAUUCCUUCAAUUAUGACCAUUUUCCCAUUCCCUGCCAAUGAAAAACAUCCCCACAGCAUGAUGUUGCCACCACCAUGGUGUUGGUGUUCUCAAAGUGAUGAAAGGUGUUGGGUUUGCCCCAGACAUUUUCCUUGAUGGCCAAAAAGCUCAAUUUUAGUGUCAUCUCGACCAGAGUACCUUCUUCCAUAAUUUUGGGGAGUCUCCCACACACCUUUUGGCAAACACCACACGUGUUUGCUUAUUUUUUUUCUUUUAGCCAUGUAAAGACUGAUCUUUUUUUUAAAAAAUCUGCUAAACCAUUACAAUUAUAACUGGCUGUACUUAUUUCACCCCUUACCAUAACUAGAUACUAUUAUCAGGCUAAAUCGACCAUCAUUAGUGCUUGUAAAGUUACUGCCAUCAGAGGUAUUAUGAAGGUCAAAACUAGAGCUUUCAAAUGUCUGAUAUUUAGAAUUCAAGAAAUAGGUUCUAGCAAUAUUUGUUUUAUUCCAUUGCCUGUUUGCCUGUGAGCCAAUGCCACAGAUGUUAGAAAAUUGAGUCAAGAUAUUAUAUGUGUAACAAAUCUGAGUAGGUUGAUGUGUAUGAUAUUGGAUAUGAUAUAGUAAGUGUCUAAAAUGUCUGUAUAAGAGUAAGAUAAUGUGUAAUAACAUGGUUGAGUGUCUAUGUGUGUAACAUGUAGUGCGUACAGCCUUAAUAUUCAUGAUGAUAAUUGUAAUCUAUAUCGUAUCACCAUCAUAGUUGCAUCAUAAUUACCUUUAACAUAAUUGAAAAACACAUCCCAGCAUUUCCAUAGCAAUUGACGUUUCACAAGAUCAUGAAAGAGACUUUGCAUUACUCUGGAGACGGCUUCACUACAGUACAAAUAUAUUCCAUACAAUAUGUUAUUAUUCCCCAAUGCCCCUACUCUGAUAUCGUCCCCUUAAUUAUAAAACAGUUCUCGACAAUAGAGAGGGAGAGAAGAGAAAAGGAGAGAAAGAGAGAGUGAGAGAAGAGAGCGAGAUCAGGUGUGUGUGUAUGUAUAAGUCUGUAUGUGUAAGCAGUCAUGUAAUUGAGUACGUGUUCAUAUCCACUUCAUAAUGUUCAGAUAUUUUUAUAGUUCCCAUACCUUCUUUUUUUUCGUAACCUGAAGUCCCUGUAGAAUGUAUAAUUUGUCUCUACCUUCUUGCCCUUUGUGCCGUUGUCUGUGCCCAAUAAUGUUUUUACCAUGUUGUGUUGCUACCAUGUUGUGGUCAUGUUGUGUUGCUACCAUGCUCUGUUGUCAUGUGUUGUUGCCUUGCUAUGAUGUUGUCUCUACCUUCUUGCCCUUUGUGCUGUUGUCUGUGCCCAAUAAUGUUUUUACCAUGUUGUGUUGCUACCAUGUUGUGGUCAUGUUGUGUUUUUACCAUGUUGUGUUGCUACCAUGUUGUGUUUUUACCAUGUUGUGUUGCUACCAUGUUGUGGUCAUGUUGUGUUGUGGUCAUGUUGUGUUGCUACCAUGCUCUGUUGUCAUGUGAUGUUGCCUUGCUAUGUUGUUGUCUUCGGUCUCUCUUGUCGUGGUGUGGUUUGUCCUGUUUUUAGAUUUUUAUUCCCCCGUCCCCGCUGGAGGCCUUUUGCCGUCAUUGUAGACAAGAAUUUGUUCUUAACUAACUUGCCUAGUUAAAUAGAGGUUAAAAAAAUGUAUAUAUAUAUAUAUUCAGAGCCAUAUCCCUGUAAUGCUUAGAGAAGAUCUUAUGUCAAGUGUUAUUGAAGUGUUGUGGUUGCAGGUUCAUUUGGCACAUCUAAAGCCUUUUCUUUUGGGGUGCUGCUACAGGCCACCAGGUGCUAACAGUCAGUAUCUAAAUAAUAUGUGUGAAAUGUUUGAUAGUGUAUGUGAUGGAAACAAAGAGGUCUACUUUCUUGGGGACCUGAAUGUUGACUGGUUUUCAUCAAGCUGUCCGCUCAAGAGGAAGCUUCUCACUGUAUCCAGUGCCUGUAAUUUGGUUCAGUUUUAAUCAACCUACCAGGGUGUUUACAAACACUACAGGAACAAUAUCAUCCACAUGUAUCAAUCACAUUUUUACUAAUACUGUAGAACUUUGUUCUAAAGCUGUAUCCGUACCAAAACCUACUUUACCAUUCCUUCAAGUUCUCUGCUGCCUAUCACUCGUGUUAAUUUGCUUAAUUGUAAUUACUUCUCUCUUAUGGCCUAUUUAUAGCCUUACCUCCUCACGCCAUUUGCACAAACUGUAUAAAGACUUGUUUCUAUUGUGUACGUUUGUUUAUUCCAUUAUUCCAACUCUGUGUUGUUGUUUGUGUCGCACUUCCUUGCUUUAUGUUGGCCAGCUUGCAGUUGUUAAUGAGAACUUGUUCUCAACUGGCCUACCUGAUUAAACUCAGUACUUUGUGGAAGCACCAUUCUUCUCUGGAGAUCCUCUCAAGCUCUGUCAGUUUAGAUGGGGAGCAUCGCUGCAGACCUACAGUUGAAGUCGGAAGUUAGCAUGCACAGUUGGAAUCAUUAAAGCUCGUUUUUCACUCCACAAAUUUCUUGUUAACAAACUAAAGUUUUGGCAAGUCGGUUAGGACAUCUACUUUGUGCAUGACACAAGACCAACAAUUUUUUAAAGACCGAUUAUUUCACUUAUAAUUCACUGUAUCACUAUUCCAGUGGGUCAGAAGUUUACAUACACUACGUUGACUGUGCCUUUAAAUAGCUUGGAAAAUUCCAGAAAAGGAUGUUAUGGCUUUAGAAGCUUCUGAUAGGCUAUUUGAGUCAAUUGGAGGUGUACCUGUGGAUGUACUUCAGGGCCUACCUUCAAAACUCAGUGCCUCUUUGCUUGACAUCAUGGGAAAAUCCAAAGAAAUCAGCCAAGACCUCAGAAGAAAAAUUGUAGACCUCCACAAGUCUGGUUCAUCCUUGGGAGCAAUUUCCAAAUGCCUGAAGGUACUGCGUUCAUCUGUACAAACAAUAGUAUGCAAGUAUAAACACCAUGGGACCAUGCAGCCGUAAUACCGCUCAGGAAGGAGACAUGUUCUGUGUCCUAGAGAUGAACGUACUUUGGUGCGAAAAAUGCAAAUCAAUCCCAAAACAACAGCGAAGGACCUUGUGAAGAUGCUGGAGGAAACAGGUACAAAAGUAUCUAUAUCCACAGUAAAACGAGUCCUUUAUUGCCAUAACCUGAAAGGCCGCUCAGCAAGGAAGAAGCCACAGACUACGGUUUGCAACUACACAUGGGGACAACGAUUGCUUUUUGGAGAAAUGUCCUGAUCUGAUUAAAUAAAAGUAGAACGAUUUGGCAAUAAUGACCUUCGUUAUGUUUGGAGGAAAAAGGGGGAUUCUUGCAAGCCCAAUCGUGAAGCAUGGGGGUGGCAGCAUCAUGUUGUGGGGAUGCUUUGCUGCAGGAGGGACUGGUGCACUUCACAAUAUAGAUGGCAUCAUGAUGAAGUAAAAUUAUGUGGAUAUAUUGAAGCAACAUCUCAAGACAUCAGUCAGGAAGUUAAAGCUUGGUCGCAAAUGACCCCAAGCAUACUUCCAAAGUUGUGGCAAAAUGGCAUAAGGACAACAAAGUCAAUGUUUUGGAGUGGCCAUCACAAAGUCCUGACCUCAAGCCUCUAGAAAAUGUGUGGGCAGAACUGAAAAAGUGUAUGUGAGCAAGGAGGCCUACAAACCUGACUCAGUUACACCUGCUCAGUCAGGAGGAAUGGGCCAAAAUUCACCCAAAUUAUUGUGGGAAGCUUGAGGAAGGCUACCCAAAAUGUUUGACCCAAGUUAAACAAUUUAAAGGCAAUGCUACAAAAUAAUAAUUGAGUGUAUGUAAACUUCUGACCCACUGGGAAUGUGAUGAAAUAAAUAAAUGCUGAAAUAAAUAAUUAUCUGUACUAUUAUUCUGACAUUUCACAUUCCUAAAAUUAAGUGGUGAUCCUAACUGACCGAAGACAGGGAAUUUUUACAUGGAUUAAAUUUCAUGAAUUAUGAAAAACUGAGUUUAAAUGUAUUUGACUAAGGUGAAUGUAAACUUCCGACUUCAACUGUAUUUUCAGGUCUCCCCAUUGACGUCCAAUCGGGUUCAAGUCUGGGCUUUGGCUGGGCAACUCAAGGACAUUCACAGACUUGUCCCGAAGCCACUCCUGCAUUGUCUUGACUGUGUGCUUAGGGUUGUUGUCCUGUUGGGACGGUGAACCUUCACCCCAGUCUGAGGUCCUGAACACUCUGGAGCAGGUUUUCCAUCAAGGAUAUCUCUGUACAUUGCUCCGUUCAUCUUUCCCUCAAUCCUGACUAGUCUCCCAGUCCCUGCCGCUGAAAAACAUCCCCAUAGCAUGAUGCUGCCACCACCAUGCUUCAGUGUAGUAAUGGUGCCAUGUUUCCUCCAGACGUGACUCUUGGUAUUCAGAGCAGAGAGUUCCAUCUUGGUUUCAUCAGACCAUAGAAUCUUGUUUGUUUCUAUGGUCUGAGAGUCUUUUAGGUGCUUUGGGUUCUUAGGUGCAUCUGGUUCUCGGUAACCUCCCUGACCAUGGCCCUUCUCCCCUGAUUGCUAAUUUUGGCCAGGCUGCCAGCUCUAGGAAGACUUUUGGUGGUUCCAAACUUCUUCCAUUUAAGAAUGAUGGAGGCCACUGUGUUCUUGGGGACAUUCAAUGCUGUAGAAAUGUUUUGGUACCCUUCCCCAGAUCUGUGCCUCGACACAAUCCUGUCUCGGAGCUCUACGGACAUUUCCUUCAACCUUAUGGUUUGGUUUUUGCUCUGACAUCCACUGUCAACUAUGGGACCUUAUAUAAACAGGUGUUCCUUUCCAAAUAAUCAAUUGAAUUUACCACCGGUGGACUCCAAUCAAGUUGUAGAAACAUCUCAAUUUCAAGUCUCAUAUCAAUACUUAUGAAUACUUUUGUAAAUAAGGUAUUUCUGUUUCUGAAAAAUUUCAAAAACCUGUUUUCACUUUGUCAUUAUUGGGUAUUGUGUGUAGUUUGAUGAGAUGUUUUAUUUAUUUUUAAACCAUUUUAGAAUAAGGCUGUAACGUAACAAAAUGUGUAAAAAGUCUCAAACUAAACACUCUAAUGUACUUUUCCUCUUGCUCAGUUGUGCACUGGGGCCUCCCACUCUUUCUAUUCU
ensembl:lncRNA